AUUAAUUUGUUUGCCUCGCAUUUAGUUAUUAUGCAUAUUAGGAGAGAUUAGAUAUAGGUAGAAAAGUUUAUAAAGAACCGGCUGCUCAAUAUGCGCACAAACCCAUUUUUCAAUACAAAAUCGAUAGAAAAUCCGGUGGCAGAGAGAAAAGACGACCGCAAUAUAUUUUCUCUCGCUUCUUAUUAAAGAAACCGCAAGAACAAAGUAGCCGACGUACUUCGUUUCUUUCUACCUGCCGGGGAUUUAAAGCCUAUGAGGUAGCCUGAAGGCCUACUCAGUGUCGUCUCGUACGGGAAGUGAGUUAAUCGUGUUAUAAGGCAUUUCAAAUCUGUUGUGUGUUUUUUAAGUAUAAUAGUGAAAUAGACUAUAGUUUUUUUAGUUAGACUAUCCGAUUUUUAUUGUAAAAGGUAAGUAAAAUUGGUUUAAAUUAUUCAAUUGUCUAAUAAUUUAAAAAAAUAAAUGAAAAUUAAUUACUGUUAAAAAUUAUAAUAUUUAAAAUAUACUUUGAUUUUAGGUGACAAAAUAAUAGGUAUUUAACUUGUAAGCUAUAUAUGUACAGCCUAGAGUGUGCACGUGUAUAUUAAUUUUUUUACUUUCUAAUUUUUUUUAGAUGUCACCUAAGAAAGUAGGUAAACAAGGACAAAUAAUUCACAGCCAAGGGAGGGAAAUUAUUUCUAACGUGGCAGCUUUUAUGAAAAAAGAAGCAGAGCAAGGAAUUACUAUUCCUUUGAAAAAUAUUAGACAACGUACGUUAGCUGCCACUCGAGUAUCCCAGUCAACUUACAGAAGAGUGGUCCAAGAGUCAGAAGAUAUAGAAAAUAUACCUUCCUGUUCCUUUACCAGUCCAAGGAAAAAAAGGCUAAGAAAAUCUCAGAAGAUUGGUAACAUUACUUCGACCCAAAUUAAAGAUAUAAAACAAAUAGUGUAUGAUUUCUACAUAGUUGAAAAAAGAAGACCUACUCUAAAAUUAAUACUUCAAAAGCUUCUUGAUCGGGCUAUUAUUCAAGAGCCUAUAAGUACACCAACCUUAUCAAAAUUGCUGAAAAAAAUUGGAUUUAGAUGGACCAAAACGGAAGAUAACAGAAAAGCUCUUAUGGAAUCUUACGACAUACGAUUGAAAAGGAUAAAAUAUUUAAAGCAAAUUUUUAAAUAUAAAGAGGAAGGCCGUAAUAUUGUAUAUACUGAUGAAAGUUACAUACAUAGCAGUCAUACAAAGGACAGAGACUGAUAAUUCUUCAUGCUGGAGGAAGAAAUGGUUUCGUAAAUAAUGGGUUACUGAUUUUUCGCUCAGGGUCAAAAAGCGGAGACUAUCAUGAUGACAUGAACCAUCACAACUUCAUGAAAUGGGCCGAAAAUCAGUUAAUUCCAAAUUUACUACCUAAUUCCGUCCUAGUAUUAGACAAUGCAGCUUAUCACAAUGUGCCUGUAGUCAAGAAUAUUACAUCUGGAAGUAAAAAGCAGGAAAUAGUUGACUGGCUCAAGGAACGUAAUUUUACAUUUGAUGAAAAACUCACCAAGACAGAGUUAUAUGAAAUAGUGUCUGAAAAUAAAAAAAAACUAUCCUGUAAAAACCAAGUUGGACGACCUAAUGGAAAAGCAUGGACACAUUGUGUUACGUUUGCCUCCAUACCACCCAGAGCUUAAUCCGAUAGAAAAAAUGUGGGCAACUGUUAAGAAUUGGGUGGCAAGCAGAAAUACCACUUUUAAAUUGACGGAUGUCGAAUCUUUGACAAGGCAGAAAUUUGCGGAAAUUUCGAGUGAUGAGUGGAUAAAUGUUUGCAACCAUAUAGAUAACAUAGAAAAACAAUAUUUCGAAAGUCAUCACCUUUUUGAUGAAGCAUUGGAUUCAUUAAAAUUUACAGUAAAUACAGGCUCAUCUGAUGAAGAGAUCGAAUGGUCUUCAUCGGAUGAAUCUUAUUUAGGUUGUAAUACACUAUCUGAUAGUGACUAAAAAUAUUUAAUAUGUAAAAUAAUGAAAUAAAACUUUAAGCUUA
rnacentral:misc_RNA from 1 species